UAGGGAAUCUUCCACAAUGGACGAAAGUCUGAUGGAGCAACGCCGCGUGAGUGAAGAAGGGUUUCGGCUCGUAAAACUCUGUUGUUAAAGAAGAACGUGGGUAAGAGUAACUGUUUACCCAGUGACGGUAUUUAACCAGAAAGCCACGGCUAACUACGUGCCAG
rnacentral:rRNA from 1 species